UUGGAACGCCCUAAGAGGUUGUGCUGCUGGCGUGGCUGGAAGCUGCUGGUGGGCGGGCGUAUGGCGGCCAGGCCUGGGACGCCACGAGGCCCGCUGGCGCCGUGGGGUCACUCUUCCUGAAGCCAGAAGUCACCAAGGCUGGAAGGGAAGGUCGGGGGCUGUCAGGGCUCAACCCUAGGUGUCGCUGGUGGCGGUGGGCAAACCCACCGGGCCGAGGGGACCGCCGCUGAGGCCAGGCGAGGAGGAAGAAAAUGUCUAGGGCCUGGAGGUAGAGAGCCAGGACCGCGAGGAGAGAGAGGGCUUACUGCCCCGAUGCAGAGGAGCAGUCCCAGACGGCUAAGGAGUUGAGGCCCCAGGGAUGCUGCGCCCUGCCGAGCUAGAAGGGAUUGCCUGCCAGAGUCUGAAAAUCCCAUCACUUUUGUAAAGGGGUUCAAAGCUGAAACUGUCACAGAACAGAGUGGGACCCGAGACACCUCAGAAGUGCGGCCAGAUGUGUGAGGAGCUGGCUGACAUGAAAGGCAGCUGGUGUGCCCGGCCACAGGGACCUGAGGAGCCCGGUGUGGUCACCUUUCUGUUAAGAUACAUACUUUCGCCAACACCAUGGUUUCUGCUCAGUUUCCCCUCAAUAGCUUCCCUCGGCAUAAGGAGCAGUGAUAACACAGAUCGAGACUGGGAGAGGCCUGUUCUUAAAUUGGAGGAAAUAAAAAGCAGCUCUCUGGAGCUCCUGUCCCCUGAUGUUGACCUCGUCGGCCCAGCCCUCCAUCCCACGGGACAGGAACAUCACAAACACGUGCGAACAACAUUCUAAGACUCAUGGUAAUUGCACUGCCAGGAACUUAUCCUUCCGAUGCCCUGCCCAGGCCGGGGAUGAUGAAUACCCAGGUUUAUUCAUUGCCAGGUGGUUGGAAACAGCAACAGGCUGGCAACAACAUAGAUGCUUGCCAUAGAGGGCUGGUUAAGUCAACCCCAUUCCUGCCUUGCGAUGGAAUUACCAUGUAGCGCUAAAAACAGAACCCGGAGGCUCAUUGUAUAGUGAGAGGAGAUGCGUCAUCACAUUGUUGAAGGCACGGUGGGGAACAAUGUUUAUAGUAUGCUACCAUCUGUGUUUAUAAGAAAAGGAAAAAAUAUACACGUAUGCAUCGGCUUGUAUAUACCUAGUGUGUCCCUAAGCUGGCUGGCUCCCAGGAGGGGGACGGGGAGACCAGAGAGAGAGAGAGAGAGAGAGAGGCCACAGGACGCCUCCCUGCAUACCCUUUUGUAUGUUUUGGUUUUCGAACCAGAAAUAAGUGCUCAGAAAUAGAUAUAUAAAAUUAAAUUUCCUUCACAAAAAGAAGCACAAACCAACCAUACACCGUGCUAAUUUGUUAUGAAAAACACACCGUAGGGAAGGGAUGGUGAAUUCCUAGGAAGCACGUAAGUGUGUUGCCUCCGGGACACCCAGGUUCCUCCCUGGACCUCAGAAUUCUUCCAAACUGCGCAUUAGUUCUCUAAGGAUUUUUUGCUUUGCUAAUAUCCCGUGAUACGUUGGUGUCUUCCACAUUAUAACCCAGCCAUCAACACCUUCUAGUUGUGGGCCAAAACGUAUUCCAGGACCCUUGUCCCCUUAGUCCCCUUAGGCCAGGACUCUUGUCCCCUUAGAUCCCGGCGAGGGUUGCCAUCACUGCGUAUGGGGAUAAGCAUGGACUUGUUUUUAUGUGUAUUUCCGAUUUGUGUCAAGUGAUACAGAUUUUUCCAUUCGCUGUGGUAGUGUAAACGUUCACUUUCAAGUAAUUUAUGUAAAUAAUGCAAGAGCAAAACAGUGUUAAGUAAAUAACAGCGCAGCGAGGCCAGCAGAUGCACAAAAACCACAGAUACGGAAGCGUGCCGGCCUGAAAUUCGGGGCACGCAGCUCCGUGCCACGUCAUCCCUCUCCCCAGCAAAGUGAUCUUACUUUCAGUGACCUGGCCUCUUGGACUCUUAACUCAACGUGAUCAAGAGAAGAGAAGAAAGAGGCAUUUGCGGUGAGCUUUCAAUUACUCAGUGGAGCAGCAAAUGCAGGUGUUCCUUAAGUGGGUGGGUGGCGGAAGCCUCCCCAACGCACCCUGAGCCCCUCUGCUGGGUCCGUCCACCUCUGUACAGAGAUGAUGACCUUCACUUCCCAUUCCAUUGUAGAACAUACUGUUCAUUCUCUCGUGUCAAUUAUGCCUUAAGGGCCACAAAUCUUAAGCUGAUAAGGGAGGCCUAACGAACCCCAGGGUUUGGCUGGGUCAACUCUUGCCUGCUGUCCGUCUCAGAUAGAUUGCAGACAGAUAGCGCCGGAAAUGGGGCCUGGGACAAAACUCCCCUCGGAAGAUCCAGGGUCCAAAAAACUGGUUAACAGAUGGGGAGGAGUUAUUGCUUUACGGGGUACUUAAAUGCAAGUGAACUCCAAAUUACAUUUCAGAGACACCGGGGAGGGGCUCCAGUGGAGAAGGGCAAGGUGGUUUCUCCUGAUGGGGGCAAAGAGAAUUCUAGCAGAGCGGGCUGGGGGCCAUGUGUAGUCACCACCACACGGAGGCAGGAUUUCAUGGGUCCCUAGCUCUCCCGCUCGCCUUCAAAUACCCAGAGUGCCUGCUCAUUUGGGUUGGUGACAGCGUGAUCACCCUGUGCGUGGGCCUUGCACACCUUUCUGGUGGCUGGUCUCUCUUGGAAAGCCUCGUUAAGCCUCCUGGCCCACCUUGUGCCUUUGCUUGGGAAAGACAAAACAAAGAUGGCUCUCCUUAACCCAGAUCAACGCCUGUCUAAGGCAACAGACGAGUAUUUUCGGGGUGGGGGUUUGAGGCCAACUUCUGCAGGCCCUUUGUCAGGAUGGCUUCGCCCCAGUACCCACGGGAGAGAGUGGGCAGGGGGUGGAGGGCUGGGAGACAGGCGCCUGCAGGACUGUGGACUCAGUUGGCCCCUAUGUACCAAAAGAUGACCAUUUUAUACACCAGCGUCUAAUGAAGUUUGCAGGCGAAUGUGAAUGGAAAAACGAAGAAAAUAAUUAUCUAAGCUGGGGAGUCGCCAGGGCUCUGGAGGCUAUGAUUUUGGUGCUAAUGGAAAUGUGGCAAGGGGGAGGGCCAGCCGGAAGAAGAGGCCACUCUUGUCCUUUUCUGAACUUGAGGUUUCUGGUUCCCGAAAGUUCUCGGUGGGGGA